UUAGGCUCAUUGACUGGCAAAGGCCAUCUGGAGGCCCAGAUGUGGUUUCUAGUCUGGUCAGGCUUUGCCUUACUUAAGAUGGGGACAGCUGGGAGCCUUGGCCUGAACUUCAUCCCACCUUUCCAUCCUGUACUUGGUGUGUUUGUGUGAACAUGCAGUUUACACGUCAUGCUGAGAGGAAAAAAGACUACAACUGUCCUAUAAGUGCUGUUUCCUUGAAGAUGAAUGAAUAUGGUACCAAUUCCGACUGGUUCCAUCAUGUGGUGCCAGAUAUCAAGCAAUAAAUCAGCUGAGGACAAAGAAAAUGGCACAAUUUCCUGCACCAGAAGCCUCCGCAGUUUCAAUAAUUCUUCUGCCAGAUAAGCAACUGAUCAGACUGCAGUGUGUAAGCCUCUAUCUUCACCUCCUUCAAGUGGAUCUGGGCAAUGUAUGAGACACUGCUCUUAUCACUAAGGAUAAAAGUCUAGUGGCCAACUUGUUGACAGCAAAGAAACAACUCCAGAUAUCUUCUUCCCUGUGGAACCACAGUGUUUGAUCUUCUGACCUCGUAUCCUGGUAUAUAUAUUUGCUUCCAGCCAUCCUGAUAUAUUGCUGACAUACCAGACAUGCUUUUGUCUAACACAACAUGAUGCCCAAGUCAGGAUUUUAAUUUAUUUAUACAGUAUAUUUUACGUUGACCUUCAUUUACAAGCCUAGGGUGGUUUACAUUAUUAAAUUGAUACAAAACAUAAUGCAGACAUUUAUUAGCACAAAAUUAAGGCAAGAAGUUGUUAUGAUGAGCAAAAAGACAAUAUAUUUAACGUGAAAAAAGGCCUAGGAGUCUCUCCCACUGUUCUUAAAGGAGGCCAGUGGAGCCAGAAUUGGCCUAAAAGAUAUUGCUGCCUGAGGCAGUCAAAUUUUUCCACCUAUCACCCCUUAACUCCCCUUAUAGAAACUAACCUGACAGGGCUUAUGUUAGUUAAUUUAUUCCAUGAAAUUCAACAGAUGCAUUAUUUUAUCUAUUGAAUCACUUCAGACAAAGGUACAGGAGACUUACGAAAAAAGACAACAGUUCUGGUUAGUGAGAAAAUACGUGUAGGAAGACAUUCCCACAUGACUACUCAGUGGGGGGUUGCAUUAUCUUGCAUGGUAAGCAAUACUGGCAUUAGAGAUGUAAAUAAUACUCUUUUUCUCACCCUCUAUCAAAAAGGGUGUCUCUACACACUUGAAACAUCCUACUGAACAAAUGGCGAAUCACUGAGAGAGGGGCUCGGUGGGUUUGCAUAAGAUUUUUUUGUAAAAAAAAUAAUUCAUGUUUUCCACAGAAAACAGUGUAUUGUUUUCAAACCUGUCUGAAUUUUAUGAUCAUCAGCACAAGUCUUGUCAUAUGUUCCACUACCCUACUUAGUUAGGCUGAGCAAUAGAUAUGAGAGGGCUUUCUGUGCACCAGCACAACAGCAGCAGCAACAUAACAGCAACAACAACAACAACAACAACAACUUUAUUUUUAUACCCCACCUCCAUCUCCCCAAAGGGACUCGGGGCGACUUACAUGGGGACAAGCUCGAUCAACAUAGUUAAAAUAUAACAUACUAAAAUUCAUAAAACAACAUCAUAAUAGAACAAUAUAAAACAACACGCAACAUAAAAUAUAAUCAAACUAACCACCAAUGCCCUGAGUAGUAAACAGCUUCUGAGGGGCGGGCUGGUGCAAAUCAGUUGCAAGGACAGGGCUGAUGGAUAAAGUGAAGAAGCCAGAUGACAAAAUUAGGAAUGGAGGGUAAUAUGAGAUAGAGCACUAUAUUUCUGGGUAGGGAGCAGUAGUAAAGUGCAAGGACUAGACUUUGGGUCAUAGAUGGGGCCAAAAUUAUCUGGGGAACUGUCUAAUCAAAAGCACAGUGGAACAUAAGUCAGGUUAGUGCCAUUCAUUCUGAUUGAAUAAUUUGAGCAUACAUAAAACGAAUACUCUCUAAAUUCCUGAACUUUUGCUGUUAAAAAUAAUUAAAAAAUAUCAAAGCCUCGUGCAACAGUACAAGUACUGUAGUUAGCGAUUCAGAAAUCAGUAGAAUUCUGAAACAGAAAAAGGAGUCUCACCUAAGCAAAUUAUCUGUUAGCAGCUUUGAAUUUGCACCUAUUAUAUCAGAGAAGGUCAAGGGUGGGGUGAGAUCUGCACUUCUCAGCAUCAUAUAUGCCAAGUUCAUGCUUCUGGUAACAUUUUAAAAUUAAAUGUAUCACUAGAAGAAACUCCUCCUAUUCCUUAGAAAACAGAAAGAAAAUGGAAACAAACCAUCUCAACAUUCCCUGGCGGAAUGGAUUUUGGCAUGCUCUUCACAGUUCCAAGUCAUGUUUUUCUCUGUUUGAGUAUGUCUCCAAAAGGCACACACAUAAAAAGGUAUGCAGAAAGGGGGGGGGGGGGAGUUAAUGUAAUUGAAAAAUCAUUAUUUAACUCUUAAAAACCACUCCCAUUGCAAAAUUUUAUGUUUCAUUGUACUGCUUUAUUUUUUGUUAAUUUCCGUCAUUAUAUUUGCAGAGGCAGAGCAGGUAUCUAAGGAAUGUAUUUUGACACUAAAUGAACACAAAGUGCAACUUCUGUUUUAAACACAUUUAAAGGGACUAAGCUCAUGUUGCCAGUUCAAGGGAAGGAGGUUAGGAAUACUGGGAGAUGAGCAACAAAUCCAAUCUUUUGCAUUCCUUUAUCAGUCUCACUUGCUACUAGCAACAUAGCAGUAUUAUAAAUAGACGCACCCUGAUUUCUACCUGAGUUGCAGGCCCAGCUACUUGGAUCCCAGUAAUGCUGAAUGUGAUUCUCAAGUCUCUGUAUACAGAUGUAUAAAGGUGAACAGCACUGAAAGAGUAAAAUAUGCCCUUCCACCACUGCCGCUCCCCACUUCCCCACAACCUGGAAGAGAGGAAUGUAUGUACUCCACUGUGUAAGUUGGCCUGUGCACAACUCUCUGAAAGCCAGCUGGGGGAAGGAGGAGCCAGGGCUUUCAGGGCUGCUUCACACUACAAAGGCCUCCUUUGUUAUCCCAGCUCUGUUUUAAAUAUCUGAUGACUAUUCUGAGCCCUGUCAGUGCCAAAUUCCCCUCUUUGCGGCAGACUCUGUACAACAGCACAUUGUGGGCAGGCUGGAUGGGGAAAGGCUGCUGGUGUGUGGGUAUUGCCCAUUCCUUUGCUUCUCAGGCAGGUUUGCUCAUUGUCUCUACCAUCUUUUUUCUUUCUUGUAAUCCCCAUGAUACUACCUGGCUGUUUUAGGAGCAGAAAAAACAGCGCCAGCUCUUCAGAGAGCAGCUUACCCUUACACAGUGUGCCAAGCUGAGUGCAAUCAUUCUCUUUCAGCUAAGGAAGGCAAAACAGCUCAGGUGUACCCAUUCUGCCUGGAACAGCUUUGUUGAAACUGUGUGUACCCAUCUCUUUUGUGAUACAGACUGGAGAUUUCCUAGGGGAAAUUGAGUGCAGAAUUUGGCGGUGAAUCAGGAUCUUAUAUUUCCUUUAAAUACACAUCCACAAUUGGCAUGUGCGGGAAAUGAUUUCUUAUACUGCUUCAAUCUUCUGAUUCAACCAAACCAUUUAAAGUAAGGUUAUAUGAGUUUUUCACAUUGUAGUUUUCAUCAACACAGUGCAGGUGAGCUUGUGCCACACACAGGAGUAGAAAUUCACAUACAGAAAUAUGUGAGAAGUGUGUGUGAGAGAGAGAGAGCACAUGCCUUCAAGUUGCCUAUUGACUAUUGAGCCCUCAGAGGGGUUUUUGCCAGUUCUGUCCUGUGAAAUACAGCCUAUGCACCCCCUCCCCGUAUUUGUUGGUGGUCUCCCAUGCUGACCCCACUUAGCUUCCAAGAUCAGAUGGGAUCUGGUGCCUUUAGGACACAAUACCCAUAAAAGUGCCUAGCAAACACGGACAAGGCUGCUUUGUUCUAGUUUGUUAUUUGCAACUUACGAAAUUUUUCAAAGCAAGUGAAUCUAUGUACUGAUGUGUGGUACAUGGGCACAAAUACCCUGUGGAUUGGCUGCUCUCAUGGUGCAGGGACAAUAAUCUGGUUCGUAACAUCAAUAAGACCAAGGAGUUCAUAAUGGACUACAGAAAGAACAGACCAGAAAUCCAGCCCUUUGUCAUAAAUGGGGACCAAAUGGAGGGGGUGGCCAGUUUUAAGUUUCUGGGUGUCACUGUUAAGGAGGAUCUGACCUGGAGCACCCAUACCGCAGCGUUGGUUAAGAGGGCCUAGCAGAGACUGUACUCCCUGAGACUUCUAAGGAACCAACGACUGCUGGUGACUUUCUACCAAUGUGCUAUAGAGAGUGUCCUACUGCAUCUGUGCGUGGUUUGGUAACUCCAUAGCGGCAGACAGAAAGGCGCUUCAAAGGGUAACCACAACUGCACAGAGAAUUUGAACAAUGGGUUCAAAUUACAGGAAAAGAGAUUCCACUUGAAAAUUAGGCUAAAAUGGUAGGUUUAUCUUCUUAUAUAUCGUAUGGCUCCUUUAUCCACCAUGCAUAAUAUGAACCCUAAUGAAAGGAACAACUUCCACCAGAAAUUACUAUAGGUAGGUGAAACUUUUGAGUACAUGGGUUUUUCAUAUAUCUCUACUUUCAGUAUAGGACACUCUUUCACUCAGAAUGUGUUGAGAAGCUGCCUCAGGACCUGCACAGUUCUUGUGUGAAAAGACACAAUCACCUCUCAGAAAAAUGACACAUUUUUCACACAAUACUCUGAAUUCAAUGGAAAAAUGUGUAGAAAGUGAGCUUUUCUAUUGGAAGAUCAAUAAUUACAAUGUGGCAAAAUUAUUGGAACUGCCAACAUUUUUAUAAAGAAAGAGUGAUUUGUUCACACAUUUCAUCAAACUUAGGAUCAUUUUAUAAAAUAAAGCCAAGAGAACCCAUGGCAAUUAGGAUUAGGAUGCUCUUUUUCUUGGGUUCAAAUAGUUUAAAAUGCAACAGGGUGGUACUAGCAAAGAAUACAGAUUUGCACAUUUGCAAUUGCAGCCCAAAAGAUCAGAGCUAAAGUAGCAAAAUCCAGACUUGAGGACAGAAAUGGAAAUGGUGAUGGUUUGGGAUGAUACAAAUCAGACACUGUCAUUGUUAUGUUGCUGCUAUCAUAAUUUUAAAGAGCUAGUUUUAAAUUUUUUAACAAGUUUUAAUGUUUAUAUUGGAAAGUGCUUAUAAAGGUUGUACAUUACUGAUGUCAUGGCCUAUGGCUAGUACAAUAAACUAUUCAUCAUCAGAACUUUGUACAUGUUAAGUCACGAAGAAGCAUCCAGAUGUGACCACUGUUAAAAACAGGAUAGUGGGAUAGAGAUUGGAUCCAAUCCAGCACAUAUACUCUUAAUAUUGUGAACUGUUGUUAAAACUGGAUAUGUGAGCUCCAAAAUGUAAAGGUACUAAUCAGGGCAAGUGAAUAUGAUAUGAAAGACAUUUGUAAGGAAGUAAUUAGCACAGAACAGUGCUUUUAUCCAAUCUCUUUAAUAUGUAGUAAUAUCUUUUAAUUGCUAAAGCAACAUAUACAUGUCUGAUUUGGGGGG